GACGAACCGUGCGAACGUUGUUCGGAAUCACUGGGCUUAAAGGGCGCGUAGGCGGGCUCGCAAGUCAGGGGUGAAAUCCCACGGCUCAACCGUGGAAGUGCCUUUGAUACUGCGGGCCUUGAGGGAGGUAGGGGCGUGCGGAACUUCCGGUGGAGCGGUGAAAUGCGUAAAUAUCGGAAGGAACACCGGUGGCGAAAGCGGCGCGCUGGACCUCUUCUGACGCUGAGGCGCGAAAGCCAGGGGAGCAAACGGG
rnacentral:rRNA from 1 species